rnacentral:snoRNA from 1 species
GUGAUACGAAAUAAUAAUGCAUUCUAUUCACUGUGCCAUCUGUAUUUCUGUAGAUGAACAGAGGGGAAAAGAAGCGCUAGAAAGAAUUCGUGAACGUCCUCAUACUGUCCGAGCCGAUUAGCUAGUCUAGGCUCGGUCGGUAACUGCGUGAGCGAGACACCU